rnacentral:lncRNA from 1 species
GAGUCAGUCUUCACAACCAAAGUAGGGCACCGAAUUUUGCAAUCCUAAGCAAGAAAAAUGAGCUUGGAGAUUAUGAGUAUGGAUGAGUUGAACCCUAAAUUGGCAGCUAACUCUCUGUGAGUUCAGCUCGUACAGGCCUUUUCAGUGGGAAUUUCUUGAAGACAAAUGCAAAGAGAAUCUGCAAACAUGAAGGACCUGCCUCUGUGGCUGGGAGAAAGUGAUGUAUUUGAGAAGAAAUGGCCAUUCGGUGUUAAUCAGCUGUAAAGAAGAGAACAGAAAGCCAAGGGAAUCCAUAAAAGAGCUUUGCCCUGUAAGCACAGUUGCCUCACCUCUGACCUCCAUAACUGAGAAAGGAUUUGGCUCCAGCAAUAUUCUCUGUGAAGUUAGCAGCUUGAAUCACUGCCAUGAGCAAAUGAGUUUUCUCUACUGAGAAUGAAUUCUCCCGAACCACUGAAACAAAGGUCUGUGUUCCUGAAUGAUUAUCCAUUUGGAAGAUUGACGUAGAGACGGUGCAGAAUAUCCCCUGCUCCCCAUCCUGUGUCUGGAAGCUGCAAGCUGUGUUAUUUAGCCUCUGGUCUGAUGAAACAAAGCUCAGAAAGGUGAAACCGGCUGGGCCAGUGGUAUGAAAUGUGAAAACUGCCUACAAAUACAGAGUCAGCUACAGAACGGGGAAGUAAUAAAGAAGGAGCACCUUAUUUAUUGUCUUAUCUCAUAGCUUCCAGAUGAUACACAUGACUGAACUAUUGAUUUUGAUUUUACUCUGCAGAAAGUGGUAUUUGGGGGCAGACAAAGAAGAGGGGCUGGACUCUACUGAUUUUGAAAUCUUCUGAGUCAGCUGUAGUGAAUUACUGAAUACCUGCCAAGGGGUCAUCUGCAGAAGUUGCCAUUUCUCUCAAGGCAACAGUCUGGAGAUUUUGGCAUUAAACUGUUACAUAUAAUUGUAAAAAUGAUCUGAUGCUCUACUACCACUACUAAUUCCACCAUCAUCAUUACUGAGUACAAGGUCUUGAUGAAUUUGCCUUUUGGGAGAACACAUUCCUACAACAUAAGUUGGCAGUAAAUUGGGUUCUAUCAAUUCUCCCACCCUCAAAGAAACAAUUUAGGGUAGUGUUGCAGUUGCACGUGUUGCUUCCAGGUCCUGUCUAAUCUCACAGCUCUACAGAAGCAACAUAUCAUUUGGAGGCAGUUUUCCAUUCUGUGCCUUCAGAGCCUUUUCGGUUGAGUGCUCUGGGUUUCCAAACUAUUCCAGAGUAAAUACACACAGUCAUCUGAAUGCUGAACCCUGAGAAUGGAAUCCUUUUGAAGGAACAAAAACCAAAGCAUUACGUAAGUGACAAUUUACUAUAGUGUACUUAUUUAUUUUGGUAAGUACAGUCCAUGGCUCAUGGAAAAUACUCCAGAAAUAUUUGUUAAAAACACAAAAAGCAUAAAUGUGGGAUCAAUAUAAGUGGAGCAGCUGGACGUUUUGAAAACAACCCUUAUCCUCAUGCUAUCACUCAUAGUUUGUCUUUUAGUCAAUUUUUCUGAUUGACAGCUCCUGGGCUGCUCUGCAUCUCCCUGUGCCUGACCUGCUGUGAAGCUAAGGUUCAGGGAGUCACCUGAAAGGUUGCUUUAGCUCUUGCAACAUCCUUAGGGACACAAGUUCUAUGUCUCUCUCCUCUCUGUCCUCUGGAGUGGGUUACUAGGGGAUAAAAAUGCAGGAUGGAGAGGCAGGGUGCACGUGGGCCUAUUCCCCUGCUCCAGAGUUCUGAUUACCCAGGGCACUGUUGGAGUUCUUCUUCAUCCUUGCCUCUGUCAAAUCUCCUCCAUCUGUCAUAUUUAAGGUGGCAGCACUACCUCUACCAAAGAGCCCUACAACAGUCCCAACUGAAAAAUGGACACUGGACAUGAACGAACAGUUUUCUAGGGAAAAUAUACAAAUCUGCAAUAAAAAUUAAAAAGAAUACAUCCCAGUGGUUAUUUAAAAAUGAAAAAUUAAAAGUAGUAAAACAGACUUAUCAGAAUGAGAAAAAGUAAAGGGAAUGAGGGAGAGAAUGAGAGAAAGGCAUUCCUUUUUAUUUACAUUUUUUGUGGUACUGAACCCAGAGUGCUCUACCACUGAGCUACAUCCCUGUCUUUUUAUUUUGAGACAGAAUCUUGCUAAGUUGCCAAGGCUGGCUUUGAACUUGGCAAUCUGUCUGCCUCAGUCUACCUGAGUAGCUGCCAUGCCUGGAACACAUCCUUACACACUAUUGUAGGUAAUGUCAAUUCAUACAACUCAUUGGAAGGCAGUUUGUAUAAAAUCCUUGUAAAGAGAAUACUGCUAAUUCAGGAAUUUUACAUCUAGGAAUUUUCCCCAAGGAAAUUUAAAAAAAAUUAGACAAGAUUUAUGUCUGGUUGUUCAAUAGGGCAAUAUUUAUAAUAGUAAAAACAAGGAGUUUGGUGAAAUAAAUUUUAGUAUAUUCUUAGAAUACUGUGUUAUCAUUUAACAUGAUAUAUGCAUAUGUACAUGCAUACACACACACACACACACAUUUUCAAUGUGUUCAAUGAAAAAGAGGCUUACAGAACAGUUGAUAGGAUGUGAUUUUUUUUUUUUUGGUUCUGGGGACUGAACUAAGGGGCACUUGACCACUGAGCCACAUCCCCCACCCUAUUUUGUAUUGUAUUUAGAGACAGCGUCUCACUGAGUUGCUUAGUGACUUGCAUUUGUUGAGGCUGGCUUUGAACUCACGAUCCUCCUUCCUCAUCCUCUGCCACAGCACCAGGCUAGAUGUGAAAUGUUU